rnacentral:rRNA from 1 species
UGCAGAAUCCCGUGAACCAUCGAGUCUUUGAACGCAAGUUGCGCCCGAAGCCGUUAGGCCGAGGGCACGCCUGCCUGGGCGUCA